rnacentral:rRNA from 1 species
CCUACGGGUGGCUGCAGUGGGGAAUAUUGGACAAUGGGGGGAACCCUGAUCCAACCAUGCCGCGUGUGUGAAGAAGGCCCUCGGGUUGUAAAGCACUUUCAGUGAGGAAGAACGCCUGGUGGUUAAUACCCAUCAGGAAAGACAUCACUCACAGAAGAAGCACCGGCUAACUCCGUGCCAGCAGCCGCGGUAAUACGGAGGGUGCGAGCGUUAAUCGGAAUUACUGGGCGUAAAGCGCGCGUAGGUGGCUUGAUAAGCCGGUUGUGAAAGCCCCGGGCUCAACCUGGGAACGGCAUCCGGAACUGUCAAGCUAGAGUGCAGGAGAGGAAGGUAGAAUUCCCGGUGUAGCGGUGAAAUGCGUAGAGAUCGGGAGGAAUACCAGUGGCGAAGGCGGCCUUCUGGACUGACACUGACACUGAGGUGCGAAAGCGUGGGUAGCAAACAGGAUUAGAUACCCUGGUAGUC